GUCACCCUACGGGGCGCAGCAGUAGGGAAUCUUCCACAAUGGGCGAAAGCCUGAUGGAGCAACGCCGCGUGGGUGAAGAAGGUCUUCGGAUCGUAAAACCCUGUUGUUAGAGAAGAAAGUGCGUGAGAGUAACUGUUCACGUUUCGACGGUAUCUAACCAGAAAGCCACGGCUAACUACGUGCCAGCAGCCGCGGUAAUACGUAGGUGGCAAGCGUUAUCCGGAUUUAUUGGGCGUACAGGGAACGCAGGCGGUCUUUUAUGUCUGAUAUGAAAGCCUUCUGCUUAACCGGAGUAGUGCAUUUGG
rnacentral:rRNA from 1 species